UGGUCUAUGCAGAGUCUCAUUUGUAGAAUACUGUUCCAUUACUGACUAUUUGACUUGGAUUUAUACCUGUAGAGCAGCCACCUGAAACCUCUCUGCCCAUUCAUUGCAUAGAGUUUAAACUAUUAUCUGUUUUCUCAAAACAGAAAAAAAGAAUCUUGAUGGAGAAAAACAGAGGUAAAAUUGAAUAAGAACAAGAUAAAAAAAAAAAAAGAAGUAAAAAAGAGCAACACUGGAACAGAGAGGUAGUGGGGGGUGAAGGUGGACAAAGAUGUUCCUCAUAUAGUAUUAGAGAGGAUUGUGAAUACCUGCAACCCCUAGGAGGGUGAAUGAAAAGUGAACUGAGGGAUCAGAUGCUGUAACCUUUCUGGCAUGGGAGGAAUGAAAUCUGUGGUGGACAAAAGCAAAAAGACCAGCAGUUAUCCUGCUCAUUUUGUCUGUAAAAUAUUAAUUGGAUUAUUUUAAUUGACAGAAAGAAAUGUGGUAUGGAAAAUAUCCAGCAUGUUAUAGUGUAAGGUCUAAGGCCCUAAAGCCAAGCUGUUGUUUCCACCCUUCCCUCCAUGUAUCUAGCACAGGUGCUUUGAUUUGGGCCACCUGGACAGGAAAAUUAACAGAUGGGCUAAUUUAAAUAGACCCUCUAAAGCCUUUGUAGGAGGCUUGUUAGUCAGAAAGAAGGUUUUUGUAUUUGUCUGUUUUAAAACAAUCAAGCAGCCCCAAAAAAGAAGUUUUAAGUUGCUGGGAAGUAUUCAAUAAGUGCACUGGAUUUAUGAUGAAAUUUCAAGUGAAGAAUUUGAAUGCCAUGCUUGUUGCAGUACUACCUGCAUCCAAGCUUUACACGCGACUGUGACAUCAUGUGAUGUGGAAUAUCCCUUCGGUCAGCUGGAGUCAGCUGUCCCAGCUGUGCCCUCUCCCAGCUUCUUGUGUAUCCACAGCCCCUGGUUGUGUGGUGUGAGGAGCAGAAAAGGCCUUGGCUCUGCAUGAGCACUGCUCAGCAGUAACUAAAACAUCCCUCUAUUAUCAGCCCUGUUUCCAGCAUAAAUGCAAAACAUAGCCCCACUCCAGCUACUAUGAAGAAAAUUAAAUCUAUCCCAGACAAUGCCAGCACAGGUUUAGUUUCAGUGGAAUGUAAAGUCAGACACGAGGAGUUCCUUAUUUCCUUCAAAACUAUCUCAAUUAAAGCAACUUUUAACAUAAGAAAUACAUACUUUAGAAGCUGAUGUAGGUCGUUCAAACAUUUCAAGUGAUCCCUGAAACAUACAGGUACAUUAGUUGUGUGACUGAAUUUGAAGAUUGUAUUUUUUUUUUGUCUUUUAAAAUCUUCUGGUGUAGAGCUCCAAAUUUAUUGUUAAACCAUUUAAUUGAGAGGUCCUUUCAACCUUGUCAAAUUUAUGUUGCAUGUUUUGGGGACAAUAUUGUUUUCAUAAUUCUUUAAAAUAUUAUUUCUUGAUCUGUUGGACUUCCUGAUAUGAAGCACUUCCUGCAUGAAGCUGAGAUAAUACAUGGGUUUAGACCUAUACAAAGGCCUGAAACUCUAGUUCUUCAUUAUUUGCCUAAUAGUCCAUGUUAUUUCUUUUCUACUAAUGAGUAAACACUGGGCAAAUGAAAUGAAUGGGUUUUUCUUUCCCUCUCUCUGUUCUUUGGAUAUUGAAGAGGCAUGUUGUAUGGCUACAACAUAAAUUUUCAUGUCAUCACAUAAUUUCCAGUAUUGUGCUCAACCAUGAGAAACUAAAAUCAGCUUCAAAACCAGUUGUUGAUUCUGUAAGACAGGUGCUCACAUCAUCACAAUACACAUGCCAAAAAAGGCCCAGUAUGAUUGCACAAGCACCGAGCUAGUUCUAAAUAAAUCUGCUCCCUAGAAGUAUUCUCUGACUGUAACAUUUUCCAGUGGAUUUUUAUUUUCAGUCAUGUCAACCAUAGACCGUCUUAUGUAGAAAAUACAGAGUUCUGAUAUUACACUAUGUAAUGAUACAGUUCUAGUUUUUGUUGAAUAUGUUUUUGUGACUUACAUAGGUCAAGAUCAUUGAAAAGCUGAAUAGAAAUGAUGUUAUCCUUUCCUUUCACCUUUUAAGAGCUUUUCUGGACCCGUAUUCAAUGCCUUGAUUUUGUUAGAAAUAGUGAUGAACACACUCCUAAAGCCAAGCCAAAAGAGAACCGAAAGCACCCCAAAUGCAAAAUAAAAACUUCAGUUGUUCGGCUUAUUGAAACAUAAUUCUGUGCCUGUAAAAUGAAAGACAAGAAAGAUAACAAUUAAAUCAUCCAUUAUGAAUCUGAGGAAAAAAUCUUAGAAUGUCAAUAUGACUAAUGAAAGCACUAGUUUAAAAAGAUCACAGCCUCAUUUAGACUACUCAGUUUACACUCUACUUCUUGUUUCCUAUGCAGGUAUUACAAAAGUCCUUUAAGAAAAGCAUCCUCACUGUAUUUCUAAUUUCUGUGUCGUAUCUCCCAUAUAUUAGUAUGAAAUAUAUACAGUAUUUCUAUGUAGCUACCUAUUUGUAUUUGUAACUUUUAGAGUCUGAUUUUUCUGUCACACUGUGCCUAUAUAAUUUACAACAAUUCUGCAUCAAACAGCAACCCAAUUAUUAAAUAAAAGCAUUUCUUCACUA